GUGUCAGCCGCCGCGGUAAUACGUAGGGUGCGAGCGUUAAUCGGAAUUACUGGGCGUAAAGCGUGCGCAGGCGGUUUAGUAAGACAGGCGUGAAAUCCCCGGGCUCAACCUGGGAACUGCGCUUGUGACUGCUAAGCUAGAGUACGGCAGAGGGGGGUGGAAUUCCACGUGUAGCAGUGAAAUGCGUAGAGAUGUGGAGGAACACCGAUGGCGAAGGCAGCCCCCUGGGCCGAUACUGACGCUCAUGCACGAAAGCGUGGGUAGCAAACAGGAUUAGAAACCCCGGUAGUCC
rnacentral:rRNA from 1 species